GGGAGAGUUGCCCCCAGAAGGCUCACUUCUAAUUUGUGAAACCAGAGGGAACAGAUGGUGAAGCUGAGUGGGGUUGGGUUCCAGUCACCGGAAGUGCUGUGCUCAGGCACUAGGCCCUUUCUGAGUUCUGCCUUUGAGGCAUGUGGCUUGGAUUUCAUGCUCCUGUCUCCCUCUUUUGUCUGUGCGGGUUUGGCUCACAUGUGUGUCUGAAGGCUCAGUGACCAAGAACUCUCUCCCAUCUGGGGGGUAAGGCCCCCUUGUUCCUUUUCAUUUCUUGCUUUUAAAACAGAGGAAAAUAUUUCCAGCUUUUCACAAAGGGCUUUGAAGUCUAGUCAUGGGGAGUACUCUGUCACCUCAAGCUGGUUGUUAGCGUGCAACCUGUUUGCUAAUAAACCAAUGCGGGACCCUGGUGUCAAAAUGCUUAAAAUGGUCAAAUCAGCAGGGACUCUGUUUCUGCAUUCGACAUGCCUUUCCCAUUUUCCAGCCUCAUGCAGAACAUACACCUGAAUCAGGAGGUGGCUCGGCGUGAACUCUUGUAAAUUGGAGUGGGUAUCUAGGGAUUGGGGAGCAGACACUUCUUCUUUUAACCUUUCGAGACCAGGAAUCAUUUGGCCCCAAAUCCACAAUGUACUGAACCUGGGGUGUAAAAGCCGUACAGUGUAUUAAAUGUGAAUUUGAGCCCAUGAAUUCUGCCCGCACUGACUCUAUAAAACAGCCUCUCCUUUUCAUAAAGCCGGCCCAUAAACGGCUGCCAGCGAAGCAGAAAGACUCCUUAGGACUGUGGCUCGCGUUCCGUCUGGGGUUGUCAACAAACCCCCUUUAUGAGUGGAAUAGACCUCUUGUAUGUGUCGAACUUCUGGCUUUUUACAGAGUGUGUCAGGAGCCAGGCUAGGCAAGCGUUAGGCGCUGUUUGCUGAGUGCAUUUAUUGCCUUUGCAUAAUUUAUGAGCUGGAGGGGUUGACCAUCAUCCGUCUCUGCCAGGGGCUGGCACUCGAGGCUCCGGAGAGCGGAGCUGUAAAUUGGAUGGUGCGCUCCUGCUGAGCUCACGGCAAAGUCCUCGGGUCAGUAUGGGAAUUUAAUACCAGAAAUGGAACUGUUUUCUCAGCGCACCAUGUGGGCCCCAGUGCAGCAGAGACUGUUUUGGCAGACUCUGCGACCGGCCUUGUCGAGGAGCUGUCACUCACCCGGCAUGUUGUGUGGGGAGCCUGAGCAUUUUUAAUCGGCUUGGCAUCCGUGCUGCUUCCAUAAUGGAUACCAGUAGGUCUCAGUUCUUCACCAUAUGCUUAACUCUGGAGACAAGGUGCUUCUGGGUAUAUCAGUAAUUACUUGAUGCAGAAUUAAGUGGACCUUGAAAUUAGAACUGGACUGUUGGAAAGCAGAAAGCUUAACACUUUGAUAGAAAUAACCAUUCCCAGGGACAUACCGCUGUUAGGAUCGGUAGGGGUGGGGGCUGGGCACGGACAGCGGUAGUUCUUUUCCAGGCUCCCCACUCCUUCUUCCCCCUGCACACCAGUCCUUGGGGACAUGGGCAAGUGCCAUGCCACAGCCUUCAGCUGUCACUGAUUGCCUCGUGAGGCGAGCCGGGAUCAUCUGGGGAGAGGAGUCUGCCUGGCAAAAUACGCUUCUCUCUUCCACGCCCUCCUGAAUGAUGCCUUGUCACUCUUGAAAUUGCGCCCGUAACUUAGGAACCCCAACGAAAGCCUAAGCAAAGGCAACGGAAAAGUCACACAAUCAGGAGAACAGAACCUCAUCUGUCUGUUGUUCUAGGCCUUCAAAGUCUUCAUCUAGCCUCUUUGGACUUAUCAGAAUAGAGAAAUUACUCAUCAGGCAAAAGGAAGUUUAGACCUUCUCAGUUUGGAAGCCUGGUUGAAAACAGUGCAGUCGUACUUGGUUAAAGCAUGGUCACUAAAACUCUGAUAACCCUAUGGCAUUGAGGAGCCGGCGAGGACAGUGGAAGGUUAGAGCCCUCCAGUCUGUAAGUUUGUGCUGUGAGUUCCUAAAUACCUACAGUAGAGAGUCUAAGCUACAAAGAGGAAGCAGUCCCCAAGUUAUGUCUUAUAAUAGCAUGCUGUCCAUUCGGAUGGAGUUUUGGUUACUUUCGAUGGAAAGCACUCUAAUGGUGGUUCUUAAACAAUAAGGUAACUUACUGUUACCUGAACAAAAAUGUCCAGAGGCAGGCUGCUCUUAGGUUGGUUCAAGUGGCCCCAUUGUGCCAGGCCAUUUCUUGGCCCCGCUCUCUUGUUUUAGUACUUGGGCUUUUUGCCUCAUUUUUGCAAAGUCGCUACCACAGAUCCAGACGUCACAUCCUCGUUCCGUCGCGUUCAGAGGCAAGAGGCAAGUGCUUCUUGCUUUUCUUCUUUUUUGAGGAGAAAAAAAUUUUUUCAGAACCCUCAGCAGACAUUUCCUCAAGUCUCAGCCAACGGUGUGUCUUAUGGCCACCCUUAGCUAUAAGCAAAGUUGGGAAAGAGAGACUAUCUGGCCUUUUCAGUCUCAAAAUGUCAGAAGCUACGGACUAGGGGAAAGGGGCUUGCAAAUGACUAUGGGUAUCUAGCCAGUAGUGACUGCUGUAUAGGCAAAUUUAUUUUCUGUUUCUGUUCAUAGCUACAUCAACUCCCGUGUCCAGGUGGCCACACUAAAAACCUUGGCAUCAUCCGAGACUCGUCCCUCUUCCUUGCUUCUCGCAUCCAUGUAUUACCACGUCCUAUUGGUUCUGCCUUCAGAACUACUCUGCCAUCUAUCUGUUCCUCCCUUUCUUAAACCAUGCGUCAUGCUGGUUUAGACAGUGUUGUAAGGGUUGCCACACCGGUCACCUGUGACCAGUGUCUUCUUCCCAACCCCAGCUCAUGGCCUCUCCUCUGCCCUGUGGGAAGAGUCAUCCUAAUGGACUAUAGCUCUCAUCACACCACACCUCUGCUCAGUGUUAGUGUUAUAGCUUUCCCUCUGCUGCUAAACUGAAAGCUACCUUAGGGCCAGUCCUGCGUCCUGCUUGGUUGAGACUUUUGAGUGAAUGAAUGAAUAUUUUUAUCCGUUGCACGUUUACUGUGACAGAAUACAUCCCCCCCCCCCCUACUUUUGAAAUCAAAUGGGUAACAAACACUCUUGGUUUAAAAAGAAAAUGUGGUUUUAUUUUUUCCCCCUUUGCCUCUAAUGAAGAAGCCCAAGUUUUGAGUUAACUCUCGUUCUUUGCUUAUCCCAAACUUAGCUGACCAGUUGGAAUUUGGGGUCAGUUAGCUACAAUGUGACUCUACUGUCUUAAAACAGAUUUCUUUGCCCAUAUUGCUGAUUUAUUUCCCUGACCUCUUCUUAUCAUUGGUGUGUGUUUUUGUAGGGAAUAUUCCCUCUUUUCUCUGGGCCUCUAAGCCACAGAAAAGGCAGCCAUCACAAACUGGUGAGCUCUGCCCACUGUGUUUCUUCCAAAGUCCAAAUGAGCGAAUAGAGUGUCCGGAGGCUUACCUCUUUUCCUGUGCAAAAGCACCGGGAGAGAUACAACCAUUCACAUUAGCUGAAGGUAGAAGGUCUCCAUUAAGAUAUCAAUUUGCUCUGAAUCCCAGUGAAUGACCUUGAUGCACCUUAGUCCUGCGGCCAGAUUGGCUCCUUGAUGGGCAUCCCCUCUCCCGUGCAGUGGGGGUGCACACCAUUGUGAUCCAGCACCUUGCCAGACUGACCACAGGAAGAGGCACAGAGCGCAGGCGUCGAAUGAAAUCCACAGAGCAACUUCACAGCAUUUCGCUUCUGAUUCUGUUUAUCAUCGUUUGAACUGAAGAAACUCUGUACAGCUUAGGCAGCAUUUUUUUAUUUCCUCUAUUUGUCUUUCCUCUUUUUUUUUUCUGUAUCAAAAAUAAAAGUCUACUCAAUUUUUUCACUAACCCUUAUUCUCUUAUCUUUCUUUUCA